rnacentral:rRNA from 1 species
AGAACGAACGCUGGCGGCAGGCUUAACACAUGCAAGUCGAACGGUUGUAGCAAUACAGCAGUGGCGCACGGGUGAGUAACGCGUGGGAACAUCCCUUUCAGUUCGGAAUAACAGCGGGAAACUGCUGCUAAUACCGAAUAUUCUCUUCGGAGGAAAGAUUUAUCGCUGAAAGAUUGGCCCGCGUCAGAUUAGCUAGUUGGUGAGGUAAUGGCUCACCAAGGCUCCGAUCUGUAGCUGGUCUGAGAGGACGACCAGCCACACUGGAACUGAGACACGGUCCAGACUCCUACGGGAGGCAGCAGUGGGGAAUAUUGGACAAUGGGCGAAAGCCUGAUCCAGCCAUGCCGCGUGAAUGAUGAAGGCCUUAGGGUUGUAAAGUUCUUUUGCCAGGGAAGAUAAUGACGGUACCUGGAGAAUAAGCACCGGCUAACUUCGUGCCAGCAGCCGC